rnacentral:rRNA from 1 species
UACGUAGGGCGCGAGCGUUGUCCGGAAUUAUUGGGCGUAAAGAGCUCGUAGGCGGUCUGUCGCGUCUGCUGUGAAAACUCAGGGCUUAACCCUGAGCUUGCAGUGGGUACGGGCAGACUAGAGUGCGGUAGGGGAGACUGGAAUUCCUGGUGUAGCGGUGAAAUGCGCAGAUAUCAGGAGGAACACCGGUGGCGAAGGCGGGUCACUGGUCCGGUACUGACGCUGAGGUGCGAAAGCGUGGGGAGCAAACAGG